GUUGGGUAGGGGAGCGUUCUGUAAGCCUGUGAAGGUGGCCUGUGAGGGUUGCUGGAGGUAUCAGAAGUGCGAAUGCUGACAUAAGUAACGAUAAAGCGGGUGAAAAGCCCGCUCGCCGGAAGACCAAGGGUUCCUGUCCAACGUUAAUCGGGGCAGGGUGAGUCGACCCCUAAGGCGAGGCCGAAAGGCGUAGUCGAUGGGAAACGGGUUAAUAUUCCCGUACUUGGUGUUACUGCGAAGGGGGGACGGAGAAGGCUAUGUUGGCCGGGCGACGGUUGUCCCGGUUUAAGCGUGUAGGUGUGUGUUCCAGGUAAAUCCGGUUCACUUUAACACUGAGGCGUGAUGACGAGGCACUACGGUGCUGAAGCAACAAAUGCCCUGCUUCCAGGAAAAGCCUCUAAGCAUCAGGUAACAUCAAAUCGUACCCCAAACCGACACAGGUGGUCAGGUAGAGAAUACCAAGGCGCUUGAGAGAACUCGGGUGAAGGAACUAGGCAAAAUGGUGCCGUAACUUCGGGAGAAGGCACGCUGACACGUAGGUGAAGUGAUUUACUCAUGGAGCUGAAGUCAGUCGAAGAUACCAGCUGGCUGCAACUGUUUAUUAAAAACACAGCACUGUGCAAACACGAAAGUGGACGUAUACGGUGUGACGCCUGCCCGGUGCCGGAAGGUUAAUUGAUGGGGUCAGCGCAAGCGAAGCUCCUGAUCGAAGCCCCGGUAAACGGCGGCCGUAACUAUAACGGUCCUAAGGUAGCGAAAUUCCUUGUCGGGUAAGUUCCGACCUGCACGAAUGGCGUAAUGAUGGCCAGGCUGUCUCCACCCGAGACUCAGUGAAAUUGAACUCGCUGUGAAGAUGCAGUGUACCCGCGGCAAGACGGAAAGACCCCGUGAACCUUUACUAUAGCUUGACACUGAACAUUGAGCCUUGAUGUGUAGGAUAGGUGGGAGGCUUUGAAGUGUGGACGCCAGUCUGCAUGGAGCCGACCUUGAAAUACCACCCUUUAAUGUUUGAUGUUCUAACGUGGACCCGUUACCCGGGUUGCGGACAGUGUCUGGUGGGUAGUUUGACUGGGGCGGUCUCCUCCUAAAGAGUAACGGAGGAGCACGAAGGUUGGCUAAUCCUGGUCGGACAUCAGGAGGUUAGUGCAAUGGCAUAAGCCAGCUUGACUGCGAGCGUGACGGCGCGAGCAGGUGCGAAAGCAGGUCAUAGUGAUCCGGUGGUUCUGAAUGGAAGGGCCAUCGCUCAACGGAUAAAAGGUACUCCGGGGAUAACAGGCUGAUACCGCCCAAGAGUUCAUAUCGACGGCGGUGUUUGGCACCUCGAUGUCGGCUCAUCACAUCCUGGGGCUGAAGUAGGUCCCAAGGGUAUGGCUGUUCGCCAUUUAAAGUGGUACGCGAGCUGGGUUUAGAACGUCGUGAGACAGUUCGGUCCCUAUCUGCCGUGGGCGCUGGAGAACUGAGGGGGGCUGCUCCUAGUACGAGAGGACCGGAGUGGACGCAUCACUGGUGUUCGGGUUGUCAUGCCAAUGGCACUGCCCGGUAGCUAAAUGCGGAAGAGAUAAGUGCUGAAAGCAUCUAAGCACGAAACUUGCCCCGAGAUGAGUUCUCCCUGAGACUUUAGGUCUCCUGAAGGAACGUUGAAGACGACGACGUUGAUAGGCCGGGUGUGUAAGCGCAGCGAUGCGUUGAGCUAACCGGUACUAAUGAACCGUGAGGCUUAACCUUACAACGCCGAAG
rnacentral:rRNA from 1 species